UACAGAGGGUGCUAGCGUUGUUCGGAAUCAUUGGGCGUAAAGAGCGUGUAGGCGGCCAGGUAGGUCUGCUGUGAAAACUCGAGGCUCAACCUCGAGAUGACGGCGGAAACCAUCUGGCUAGAGUCCGGAAGAGGAGAAUGGAAUUCCCGGUGUAGCGGUGAAAUGCGCAGAUAUCGGGAAGAACACCCGUGGCGAAGGCGGUUCUCUGGGGCGGUACUGACGCUGAGACGCGAAAGCGUGGGGAGCAAACAGG
rnacentral:rRNA from 1 species